rnacentral:rRNA from 1 species
GACGAACGCUGGCGGUAUGCUUAACACAUGCAAGUCGAACGAGAAAUUCCUUAUUGAACCUUCGGGGGAUAUAAGGGAUGGAAAGUGGCGAACGGGUGAGUAACGCGUGGGCAACCUGCCUCAUGGCGAGGGAUAGCCCCUGGAAACGGGGAGUAAAACCUCAUGACGCAUAAAGGUCGCAUGACCAUUAUGCCAAAACUCAGGUGCCAUGAGAUGGGGCCCGCGUCCCAUUAGCUGGUUGGUGAGGUAAUGGCCCACCAAGGCGACGAUGGGUAGCCGGUCUGAGAGGGCGAACGGCCACACUGGAACUGAGACACGGUCCAGACUCCUACGGGAGGCAGCAGUGGGGAAUAUUGCGCAAUGGGGGCAACCCUGACGCAGCAAUACCGCGUGAGUGAAGAAGGUUUUCGGAUCGUAAAGCUCUGUUAUUGGGGAAGAAGAAGUGACGGUACCCAAUGAGGAAGUCCCGGCUAACUACGUGCCAGCAGCCGCGGUAAGGUGCGCGAGU